UACGUAGGGGGCUAGCGUUGUCCGGAAUCAUUGGGCGUAAAGCGCGCGUAGGCGGCCCGGUAAGUCCGCUCUGAAAGUCCAGGGCUCAACCCUGGAAAGCGGGUGGAUACUGCCGGGCUAGAAUCCGGAAGAGGCGAGUGGAACUCCUGGUGUAGCGGUGGAAUGCGCAGAUAUCAGGAAGAACACCCGUGGCGAAAGCGGCUCUCUGGAACGGUACUGACGCUGAGACGCGAAAGCGUGGGGAGCGAACAGG
rnacentral:rRNA from 1 species